rnacentral:tRNA from 1 species
UGGGAAGAGAGCUCAGUUGGUAAAGUGUUUGCCUUGCAUGUACAAGGCCCUGGGUUCAGUUCCCAACACCACAA